UCAGGAGAGGUCAAGAAUCCAACAAGCUUAUAUACAAGGGACCUCACCUCUUAAGAGACAAAUAAAUCAACUGAGCAAAUCGAAUUACACAAUUUCAAAACAAAAUUAAAUAUAAACACAUGUACAGUAACCUGUACACGUAUUCAUACACACACACUUAGACACAUACACUAUCUGGCUUCAGAAUGUUAACCCUCUAUCAGCUAAAUGAAACAGGCAUUGAAAAAAUAAAUAAAAUAAUAAUAAUAAUAAUAAUAAAUAAAUAAAUAAAUAAAUAAAAUAAAAUAAAAUAAAAUAAAAUAAAAUAAAAUAAAA